AUUGGACUAUAUUUCACACAGAUGUGUUGCUGAAUAAAUUAAAUGGGAUUUGGCUCACGCUGUUUGACUCUUCCACUGGCUGGGAUCUGAAAGUCACAAAUUACAUAUUUAAGGAUGAAGAUAACAGUGAAAUCAUGUAGCAUUGCAACCUCUGUCAUGCAGUGCCAGUGAGGAAAGCCCCCAUAACACAGGCCUUGUCAAAGCAUCUCUCCUGCUUUUCAGGGUUUAUUUUUUUCAACCUCUCCUAUGACAUUGAGGAAUUCCCUCUCCUUCAUUGUUUGUGCUACACCCUGCUGAGGAUUUCUCUUAUCUUUCAGGCUGCAGAGGUCCUGUUUAGGCAAAACAAGACCAGGGCAAGAAGGAGAGCGUGGCGGCAAGCAGAGGGGCAGGGAACUGAGGCAUGGAGCUGGCUGGGAAGUGAGGAAGAUGAGGCUCAGGAAGCUCAAGAAGGCAAGUAUUGCUAUGGAUCACAUUUGCCCUUAUGUCCUCUGGCAGGAGGACAGGAAUGAAACUCUUGCAUAUGAUGCACUUGUCCAACACAGAAGCCAGUUACCCAAACACCGAGCAUACUCAG